rnacentral:rRNA from 1 species
GACAGAGGAUGCAAGCGUUAUCCGGAAUGAUUGGGCGUAAAGCGUCUGUAGGUGGCUUUUUAAGUCCGCCGUCAAAUCCCAGGGCUCAACCCUGGACAGGCAGUGGAAACUAGCAAGCUUGAGUACGGUAGGGGCAAAGGGAAUUCCCGGUGUAGCGGUGAAAUGCGUAGAUAUCGGGAAGAACACCAAAGGCGAAAGCACUUUGCUGGGCCGAAACUGACACUGAUAGACGAAAGCUAGGGGAGCAAAUGGG